UGGGGAAUUUUGCACAAUGGGGGCAACCCUGAUGCAGCGACGCCGCGUGAUUUAGAAGGCCUUCGGGUUGUAAAAAUCUUUUGUAUGGGAAGAAAAUGACAGUACCAUACGAAUAAGGACCGGCUAAUUACGUACCAGCAGCCGCGGUAAUACGUAAGGUCCGAGCGUUGUCCGGAAUCAUUGGGCGUAAAGGGUACGUAGGCGGAUAAGCAAGUUAGAAGUGAAAUCCUAUAGCUCAACUAUAGUAAGCUUUUAAAACUGCUCAUCUUGAGGUAUGGAAGGGAAAGUGGAAUUCCUAGUGUAGCGGUGAAAUGCGCAGAUAUUAGGAGGAAUACCGGUGGCGAAGGCGACUUUCUGGCCAUAAGCUGACGCUGAGGUACGAAAGCGUGGGUAGCAAACAGG
rnacentral:rRNA from 1 species